CACGUAUCUGCGAGACAGACAGGAAGGAUAAACUGAAAUAAGAACAGGAAGUGUGAAUAGUAGGAAAUUCAGUCAGUGUUUAUUGCAGCAGUGCUGUGAAAUAUGGUGCAGAAAAAGAAUAACAUACACGUGUGUUGGGUCUUUUAUAGCAAUGAACUAUUGUCACCAGGGUCAGUUCCUUGUAUUAAUUAGUAUGUAUACGUGUGUUUGGCAUUUUUCUUAAAGCGUGUGUGAAAAAUGAAACUUACAUUGGAACCUCAAGGUAUGAGAAGGGCUCCAAAAGCAUACCAGCGUAUACCUCUGGAACAUGAAAAAAAUCAGACAUUAUAAAGGUCUGCAAUGGCAAAUCAAUACUGCAGAAGCCCGCAAGAUGGAGGAAAGUACAUGAAAGGGGAAAAUUGUCAUCCACCUGAAUUGUAGUGCGAAGCUACCAAGGUAAUCUGGACGGGUUUCUCAAAAAAAAAAAAAAAGCCUGACAUUUGAAGAAAAUUUCGUUCUAGUGGACCUGAUUCUGGUCCAGGACGAAUUUUUCUUCAACUACGAGGCUUUCUUUUCGAGAAACCUAUAUGGGUUUCCUUGUAGCUUCUUGCAACAAUUCAGGUGGAUGACAAUUUUUCCUUUACAAAGGUCUGCAAUAUAUUCAAAAUAUGUUUAUCCUGUGGUAUCUGGAAAGCACACCUGCCAAGGCAGUUUCACAUCGAAAGUGAUAGCAAGACUAAGCGUUGCAUUGACCUUCCUUUAAAAAAAAAAAUUAUGGGUUUCACGUGUCAGAACCACCGUCUGAUCAUGAGGCACACCGUAGUGGGGGACUCCGGUUCAAUUUGGAUCACCUGGGGUUCUUUAAUGUGCACCUAAAUCUAAAUACAUGGGUGUUUUCUGCAUUUCACCCCCAUCGAAAUGCGGCCGCCGUAGCUGGGACUUGAUCCCGCAACCUCGUGCUUAGCAGCCCAACACCGUAACUACCAAGCAACCAUAGCGGGUUUGACCUUCCUUGGAUGGUGUUCUAACAAUAUCUGGAGGUGACACGGGGCAACGCAGCACACGAAGCAGCUGGUGCAGUAGAGCAUAAACAGUGCCCUUGCAGCUACCAAGUAUAUCUCACAGCACUGGCAUAAUCAAUGCUGAGACAAAAGAAAACUGUUGGUGUUUUUGCAAGUUGAAGUUUACUGUCUCUUCCACUCAGACCACUGUAUGCGCACAGGUGCACAGCAGGAAUGCUAGUGUUUGCACGCACAACGCUCAUGCCAGCAACGGAAGGCAAAACACAGCCCUGGCUUUGCUGCUGAAACAGCUGAGCAGAGUGUGAUGGUGCAUUAACUUGGUUUCAUUGUUUUUGCAUUGAAAUGCAAUAACGCGUUUGUCACUUCUUUAGAGACCUUCUAACCCUCCAGGUGGGAGUGAUGACCACAGCGAUAGCAAAAACGUGCCCGAGGAAUUUGUAUAAUUGCUCUGGCAAUAAUAAAAGGACAGUAAAGGAAAUUAUGAUAGUUUGGUUGAUUGCACUCAAGAGUGAAGGCUCGAUAUGCAAGAAAAUAAUGCAAACGACAAGCUGCGACGCCAUCUAAUUCCUAAAGCCAGCCCUAGGACAUGGCAAAUCCUUUUCGGCUCCUAUGGUUUAGUACUUGUUGAUUGCUAUUAAAAGUAAUUGCAUUGCUCUCAAAUAUAGGCAAAAAGUGAACUUCGUAACAGUUGUAGAAAUUCCAGUGCUGAAAAGGCCGAAAUCUUUGAAAAUACAACGAAAUCUGUGACUUCAUGCAGUGAAAUAUCAGUGCCAAGUUUAGGCAAGAAAUUCAAGCCAUUAAAUUCGGACUUAAUUUUUAUGCUGAUAACUGGUCCUUCCAGAAGAGCAACCUACUCUCCAGCCUAAUUUAGUGUUAGCAUUCAGUGUAUACCUUCAGUGUUUCAGCACUUCUGAUUAGACGCUAACAUAUGAUGAAGAGAGCUGUUGGAUGCAUUUUCUGUGAAUAACGAUAAUUGAGAUAGUAGGAGAUUGUAUGAAAGCAUUGUCAGGCUAUGUAGUUAUGUGGUGCUGUAUAUACUAAUGUCAUGUGAUAAGUGUGUGUUCAAUUUUAUCACAUUUACCUUAUCUAAUGUCGAUGAUUUUUUGCUUCAUCCAGUAAAAUAAUUGACACGUAUAUGUAUUAAAGAAAUUAAAUAAAACUUCUUUAUAAAUGAAAUUGCCAAUACUAAAUGAUCUAACAAAGUGACAUGGCAGAAUUCCUUGGCAGUGCUUAUGAUGUAGCUAAACAGGUUUGGACAUCUGGAACUUGCCAGUGCUCUUGUAUUUUUUUUUUUUUGCAUGGAUAAACCCUAUGUUUACAAACAAAGGCACUGCAGUGUAUAGUGUAAACAGAGAGCAAACAUUUACUUUGGCCAGGUCAUGUGCUAAGGAGCACAUCACUUGGUGGCAACAGUGGUGGCAGCGGGUCACAUACACUAGUUCAGAUAGCAAAUCUGAAAUCUAGGCUGUGUGCCUAGGCUGAAUAAAUAUUCAGCUUUCCCCUUAAACCCGGCACCCUGUUAACUUCUUACACUAAGUGUACAUUAUUGUGUACUUACUGACAUUGAUGUCUCGUAUGUGAUAGGCAGCAUUUACAGUUUCCGCAUUUAUGUCUUCCCAAAUCCUGAAAUGAAAAGGAAAAGUUAAAGCACGAAUUUGAGGUCUUCCAUACUAUACUAAGUAAAGCGAAAACAAUUGUCUGCACAUGCUCUGAACCUCUUGCAUGACUAGUUGCUGAGGAAAAUAUAAAAUGGCUCGGUGGCAAAACUAAGGGCUCGGUGGCACAUGCAGCAGUAUUUCUGUGUUGUACACACAGCUUCAGAAUUAACUUUUAUGAUAAUCAUUUUAAAUGCUUCAAAGAACUAAAAGAAAUCCAUAGAAGCCAUUAUAAAGUGUUUAAUAGAGCUAAUGCUUGGCAUAUUUUUGGUUGUGUGUUUUCUUGCCCAUUUUAUGUGCCUCCAAUCACACUGAGGCAGAACAAACUUUCGAUAAUAUGUUUUUCCCCUUUUUUUGUAUUCUGUAUUAUCUUUCAGAAGGCCUUUGCAUUGACUUGUAUAGUUCUGAUGCACAUAUCAGUCAACCUCAGAGAAAGUGUGGGGGUCUUGGUAUUUUUCAUCCAUCUGAGAGCACUAUCAGAAUGGUUUUGUUCUGUAUCAAAAGCUUCCACCAAAUUUUUGACUGGUAAUGGAGAAACAACAGCAUAUUCCUUCUUGCCGCUGUUUGGAUGAAUGGAUGCACACAUUUAUUUAAGCCUUUGUCUCAAACAUAGACUACCGCUGCUUGCUUCAGCUACUCACUCUGGCUUUCUGGGCGAGAAUAGCUCUCUGGCUUGCUGGUUGUACUUUUGUACUCUGUGGUACACAAGUCGUUCAAGGAAUGGACCAUUGUUCUGUGGAGCUUUGUCCUGGAAAAGAGCAAAAGGAACAUGUUUCAAUUAAAUAGAGUGAUCAGAUAGU